rnacentral:rRNA from 1 species
GAUGAACGCUGGCGGCGUGCCUAAUACAUGCAAGUCGAGCGAACGGACGAGAAGCUUGCUUCUCUGAUGUUAGCGGCGGACGGGUGAGUAACACGUGGAUAACCUACCUAUAAGACUAGGAUAACUUCGGGAAACCGGAGCUAAUACAGGAUGAUAUUUUGAACCGCAUGGUUCAAAAGUGAAAGACGGUCUUGCUGUCACUUAUAGAUGUAUCCGCGCUGCAUUAGCUAGUUGGUAAGGUAACGGCUUACCAAGGCAACGAUGCAUAGCCGACCUGAGAGGGUGAUCGGCCACACUGGAACUGAGACACGGUCCAGACUCCUACGGGAGGCAGCAGUAGGGAAUCUUCCGCAAUGGGCGAAAGCCUGACGGAGCCACGCCGCGUGAGUGAUGAAGGUCUUCGGAUCGUAAAACUCUGUUAUUAGGGAAGAACAUAUGUGUAAGUAACUGUGGACAUCUUGACGGUACCUAAUCAGAAAGCCACGGCUAACUACGUG